rnacentral:rRNA from 1 species
GUGGGGAAUUUUGGACAAUGGGCGAAAGCCUGAUCCAGCAAUGCCGCGUGCAGGAUGAAGGCCCUCGGGUUGUAAACUGCUUUUGUACGGAACGAAAAGCCUGGGGCUAAUAUCCUCGGGUCAUGACGGUACCGUAAGAAUAAGCACCGGCUAACUACGUGCCAGCAGCCGCGGUAAUACGUAGGGUGCAAGCGUUAAUCGGAAUUACUGGGCGUAAAGCGUGCGCAGGCGGUUUUGUAAGACAGUGGUGAAAUCCCCGGGCUCAACCUGGGAACUGCCAUUGUGACUGCAAGGCUAGAGUGCGGCAGAGGGGGAUGGAAUUCCGCGUGUAGCAGUGAAAUGCGUAGAUAUGCGGAGGAACACCGAUGGCGAAGGCAAUCCCCUGGGCCUGCACUGACGCUCAUGCACGAAAGCGUGGGGAGCAAACAGGAUUAGAUACCCCAGUAGUCC